rnacentral:rRNA from 1 species
GCUGGGGGUGACGGAGAAUCAGGGUUCGAUACCGGAGAGGGAGCACGAGAAACGGCUACCACAUCUAAGGAAGGCAGCAGGCACGUAAAUUACCCACUCCCGGCUCGGGGAGGUAGUGACGAAAAAUAACAAUACGAGACUCAUCCGAGGCUUCGUAAUUGGAAUGAGUACACUUCAAAUCCUUUAACGAGGAUCUAUUGGAGGGCAAGUCUGGUGCCAGCAGCCGCGGUAAUUCCAGCUCCAAUAGCGUAUAUUAAAGUUGCUGCGUUUAAAAAGCUCGUAGUUGGAUCUCAGUCUCGAUCGAGCGGUUCACCGUCUGGUGAUACUGUUUGAAUCGGACAUUCCGCCGCAUUUCUCAUCAUGCUCUUCACUGAGUGUGGUGGGAGAGUGGUACGUUUACUUUGAAAAAAUUAGAGUGCUCAAAGCAGGCCGCCGCCUGAAUAGUCGUGCAUGGAAUGAUGGAAUAGGGCCUCGGUUCUAUUUUGUUGGUUUCCGGAACUCGAGGUAAUGAUUAAUAGGGACGGACGGGGGCAUUUGUAUUGCGACGUUAGAGGUGAAAUUCUUAGAUCGUCGCAAGACAGACUACUGCGAAAGCAUUUGCCAAGAAUGUUUUCAUUAAUCAAGAACGAAAGUCAGAGGUUCGAAGGCGAUCAGAUACCGCCCUAGUUCUGACCAUAAACGAUGCCGACUGGCGAUCCGCCGUUGUUAAUUCCAAUGACUCGGCGGGCAGCUUCCGGGAAACCAAAGUUUUUGAGUUCCGGGGGAAGUAUGGUUGCAAAGCUGGAACUUAAAGGAAUUGACGGAAGAGCACCACCAGGAGUGGAGCCUGUGGCUUAAUUUGACCCAACACGGGAAACCUCACCAGGCCCGGACACCAGAAGGAUUGACAGAUUGACAGCUCUUUCUUGAUUUGGUGGGUGGUGGUGCAUGGCCGUUCUUAGUUGGUGGAGUGAUUUCUGGUUAAUUCCGAUAACGAACGAGACCCCGGCCUGCUUACUAGACCGCGGAUCCUUUCGUCCGUGCUGUCUUCUUAGAGGGACAACUGGCUAUACGAAAUAGCUACAUGAAAUGGGGCAAUAACAGGUCUGUGAUGCCCUUAGAUGUUCUGGGCCGCACACGCGCUACACUGAAGGGAUCAUCGUGUUCAUCCUAGGCUGAAAAGUCCGGGAAACCCGCUGAAUUCUCUUCGUGCUAGGGAUUGAGGCUUGCAAUUGUUUCUCAUGAACGAGGAAUUCCCAGUAAGCGUGAGUCAUCAGCUCGCGCUGAUUACGUCCCUGCUCUUUGUACACACCGCCCGUCGCUACUACCGAUUGAAUGAUUUAGUGAGAUAUUUGGACUGGGUAUUGCAGGCGCUUCGGCAUUUGCUUUAUCCGGAAAGAAAAUCAAACUGAAUCCUUUAGAGGAAGUAAAAGUCGUAACAAGGUU